rnacentral:rRNA from 1 species
GGUUAAGUUAGAAAGGGCGCACGGUGGAUGCCUUGGCACUAGGAGCCGAUGAAGGACGGGACGAACACCGAUAUGCUUCGGGGAGCUGUAAGCAAGCUUUGAUCCGGAGAUUUCCGAAUGGGGAAACCCACCACUCGUAAUGGAGUGGUAUCCAUAUCUGAAUACAUAGGAUAUGAGAAGGCAGACCCGGGGAACUGAAACAUCUAAGUACCCGGAGGAAGAGAAAGCAAAUGCGAUUUCCUGAGUAGCGGCGAGCGAAACGGGACCAGCCCAAACCAAGAGGCUUGCCUCUUGGGGUUGUAGGACACUCUGUACGGAGUUACAAAGGAACGAGGUAGAUGAAGAGGUCUGGAAAGGCCCGCCAUAGGAGGUAACAGCCCUGUAGUCAAAACUUCGUUCUCUCCUGAGUGGAUCCUGAGUACGGCGGAACACGUGAAAUUCCGUCGGAAUCCGGGAGGACCAUCUCCCAAGGCUAAAUACUCCCUAGUGACCGAUAGUGAACCAGUACCGUGAGGGAAAGGUGAAAAGCACCCCGGAAGGGGAGUGAAAGAGAUCCUGAAACCGUGUGCCUACAAGUAGUCAGAGCCCGUUAACGGGUGAUGGCGUGCCUUUUGUAGAAUGAACCGGCGAGUUACGAUCCCGUGCAAGGUUAAGCAGAAGAUGCGGAGCCGCAGCGAAAGCGAGUCUGAAUAGGGCGAAUUGAGUACGUGGUCGUAGACCCGAAACCAGGUGAUCUACCCAUGUCCAGGGUGAAGUUCAGGUAACACUGAAUGGAGGCCCGAACCCACGCACGUUGAAAAGUGCGGGGAUGAGGUGUGGGUAGGGGUGAAAUGCCAAUCGAACCUGGAGAUAGCUGGUUCUCUCCGAAAUAGCUUUAGGGCUAGCCUCAAGGUAAGAGUCUCGGAGGUAGAGCACUGAUUGGACUAGGGGCCCCUACCGGGUUACCGAAUUCAGUCAAACUCCGAAUGCCGAUGACUUAUCCUUGGGAGUCAGACUGCGAGUGAUAAGAUCCGUAGUCGAAAGGGAAACAGCCCAGACCGCCAGCUAAGGUCCCAAAGUAUACGUUAAGUGGAAAAGGAUGUGGAGUUGCUUAGACAACCAGGAUGUUGGCUUAGAAGCAGCCACCAUUUAAAGAGUGCGUAAUAGCUCACUGGUCGAGUGACUCUGCGCCGAAAAUGUACCGGGGCUAAACGUAUCACCGAAGCUGCGGACUGUUCUUCGAACAGUGGUAGGAGAGCGUUCUAAGGGCUGUGAAGCAAGACCGGAAGGACUUGUGGAGCGCUUAGAAGUGAGAAUGCCGGUAUGAGUAGCGAAAGAGGGGUGAGAAUCCCCUCCACCGAAUGCCUAAGGUUUCCUGAGGAAGGCUCGUCCGCUCAGGGUUAGUCGGGACCUAAGCCGAGGCCGAAAGGCGUAGGCGAUGGAUAACAGGUUGAUAUUCCUGUACCACCUCCUCACCAUUUGAGCAAUGGGGGACGCAGGAGGAUAGGGUAAGCGCGGUAUUGGAUAUCCGCGUCCAAGCAGUUAGGCUGGGAAAUAGGCAAAUCCGUUUCCCGUGAAGGCUGAGCUGUGAUGGCGAGCGAAUUAUAGUAGCGAAGUUCCUGAUUCCACACUGCCAAGAAAAGCCUCUAGCGAGGUGAGAGGUGCCCGUACCGCAAACCGACACAGGUAGGCGAGGAGAGAAUCCUAAGGUGAUCGAGAGAACUCUCGUUAAGGAACUCGGCAAAAUGACCCCGUAACUUCGGGAGAAGGGGUGCUCUGUUAGGGUGCAAGCCCGAGAGAGCCGCAGUGAAUAGGCCCAGGCGACUGUUUAGCAAAAACACAGGUCUCUGCGAAGCCGUAAGGCGAAGUAUAGGGGCUGACGCCUGCCCGGUGCUGGAAGGUUAAGAGGAGCGCUUAGCGUAAGCGAAGGUGCGAAUUGAAGCCCCAGUAAACGGCGGCCGUAACUAUAACGGUCCUAAGGUAGCGAAAUUCCUUGUCGGGUAAGUUCCGACCCGCACGAAAGGCGCAACGAUCUGGGCACUGUCUCAACGAGAGACUCGGUGAAAUUAUAGUACCUGUGAAGAUGCAGGUUACCCGCGACAGGACGGAAAGACCCCGUGGAGCUUUACUGCAGCCUGAUAUUGAAUGUUGGUACAGCUUGUACAGGAUAGGUAGGAGCCUUGGAAACCGGAGCGCCAGCUUCGGUGGAGGCAUCGGUGGGAUACUACCCUGGCUGUAUUGACCUUCUAACCCGCCGCCCUUAUCGGGCGGGGAGACAGUGUCAGGUGGGCAGUUUGACUGGGGCGGUCGCCUCCUAAAAGGUAACGGAGGCGCCCAAAGGUUCCCUCAGAAUGGUUGGAAAUCAUUCGCAGAGUGUAAAGGCACAAGGGAGCUUGACUGCGAGACCUACAAGUCGAGCAGGGACGAAAGUCGGGCUUAGUGAUCCGGUGGUUCCGCAUGGAAGGGCCAUCGCUCAACGGAUAAAAGCUACCCCGGGGAUAACAGGCUUAUCUCCCCCAAGAGUCCACAUCGACGGGGAGGUUUGGCACCUCGAUGUCGGCUCAUCGCAUCCUGGGGCUGUAGUCGGUCCCAAGGGUUGGGCUGUUCGCCCAUUAAAGCGGUACGCGAGCUGGGUUCAGAACGUCGUGAGACAGUUCGGUCCCUAUCCGUCGCGGGCGCAGGAAAUUUGAGAGGAGCUGUCCUUAGUACGAGAGGACCGGGAUGGACGCACCGCUGGUGUACCAGUUGUUCUGCCAAGGGCAUCGCUGGGUAGCUAUGUGCGGACGGGAUAAGUGCUGAAAGCAUCUAAGCAUGAAGCCCCCCUCAAGAUGAGAUUUCCCAUUCCGCAAGGAAGUAAGAUCCCUGAAAGAUGAUCAGGUUGAUAGGUCUGAGGUGGAAGUGUGGCGACACAUGGAGCUGACAGAUACUAAUCGAUCGAGGACUUAACCAA